rnacentral:rRNA from 1 species
GAUGAACGCUAGCGGCAGGCCUAACACAUGCAAGUCGAGGGGUAACUAGAGUGAUAGCAAUAUUACUUUGGCUAGACCGGCGCACGGGUGCGUAACACGUAUGCAACCUACCUUAUACUGGGGAAUAACUUCGAGAAAUCGGCGCUAAUACCCCAUAACAUUGCGAAGAGGCAUCUCUUUGCAAUUAAAGCUCCGGCGGUAUAAGAUGGGCAUGCGCCCAAUUAGCUAGUUGGUGAGGUAACGGCUCACCAAGGCUACGAUUGGUAGGGGUUUGGAGAGGAUGAUCCCCCACACUGGUACUGAGAAACGGACCAGACUCCUACGGGAGGCAGCAGUGAGGAAUAUUGCGCAAUGGACGAAAGUCUGACGCAGCCAUGCCGCGUGCAGGAUGACGGCCCUAUGGGUUGUAAACUGCUUUUGUACGGGAAUAAACCCUUCUACGUGUAGGAGGCUGAAGGUACCGUAAGAAUAAGCACCGGCUAACUCCGUGCCAGCCGCCGCCGUAAGAC